CGCUGGCGGCGUGCCUAAUACAUGCAAGUCGAACGGGUCUUUUCUAAUGGAAGCUUGCUUCCGACUGAGAAGAUAGUGGCGAACGGGUGAGUAACACGUGGGUAACCUGCCCAUAAGAGGGGGAUAACAUCCGGAAACGGGUGCUAAUACCGCAUAGUUUUCUUGAUCGCAUGAUUGAGAAAGGAAAGACGGCCUUUGUGCUGUCGCUUAUGGAUGGACCCGCGGCGUAUUAGUUAGUUGGUGAGGUAACGGCUCACCAAGACGAUGAUACGUAGCCGACCUGAGAGGGUGAUCGGCCACAUUGGGACUGAGACACGGCCCAAACUCCUACGGGAGGCAGCAGUAGGGAAUCUUCCGCAAUGGACGAAAGUCUGACGGAGCAACGCCGCGUGAGUGAAGAAAAGGUUUUCGGAUCGUAAAACUCUGUUGUCAGAGAAGAACAAGUUGGAGAGUAACUGCUCCAGCCUUGACGGUAUCUGACCAGAAAGCCACGGCUAACUACGUGCCAGCAGCCGC
rnacentral:rRNA from 1 species